ACAACGAACUAUGAGAAGUCAGCAGAAGUCAUAGUAGGUGGAAACACCGAAGGA
rnacentral:ncRNA from 1 species